CUGUUAUAAAAGCAACACCUCAGCAGUGCCACAGACUGAUCACCUCCAUGCCACACCACACUGAUGCAGGAAUUCAUUCAAAAGGAGCUGCUAUCAAGUACUGAGUGUGUAAAUGAACAUUUUUCAGGAGUUAGAUAUUUCUGCAUUAU